rnacentral:rRNA from 1 species
GAUUAACGCUGGUGGCGUGCAUAACACAUGCAAGUCGAACGAUGAAACUUAACUGAUUUCUUCGGAAUGAUUUUAAGUGGAUUAGUGGCGGACGGGUGAGUAACGCGUGAGUAACCUGCCUUGGAGAAGGGGAUAGCCUUUGGAAACGAAGAAUAAUACCCUAUGAUAUGAUAAUAUCUCAUGAUAUUAUCAUCAAAGAUUUAUCGCUCUAAGAUGGACUUGCGUCUGAUUAGUUAGUUGGUGAGGUAACAGCUCACCAAGGCAGCGAUCAGUAGCCGGCUUGAGAGAGUGUACGGCCACAUUGGGACUGAGACACGGCCCAGACUCCUACGGGAGGCAGCAGUGGGGAAUUUUGCACAAUGGGGGAAACCCUGAUGCAGCGACGCCGCGUGAUUUAGAAGGCCUUCGGGUUGUAAAAAUCUUUUGUAUGGGAAGAAAAUGACAGUACCAUACGAAUAAGGACCGGCUAAUUACGUG